AAUUAUUUUGUUCCCUUCAAACUUGAACAAUUUUGCAUUUAUGGGGUAUAAUUUACAUUGAUUUUGUUGGAUUAUAGGUGAUUUCUAGCUCUUGCAUAAUAAUAGUCAGGUCCUUAAGAUGCUCCAAUUCAGUAUUGCAUACAACUUUCAUACAACGAUUCAAUUCAAUGGGAACCGAAGAUUGAUGAUGGUGCUUUCUUCAUCGCCUCAGAACUCAUCCACUUGACGAAGAUCCUCAUUGUCGCCUUACAAUACCCAUUAUCUCAAUAGGGUCCUGUACUUCCUAUUUGUAAAUGAUGUUACCGUAUGUGAUGUGCGAUUAAAGGAAACCUAGAUUUUUUUCCAACAUUAUGCUAGGCGAUUUCUCAUGGCUAACAUAAACAAUCCCAUGACGCUCAUAGAUAAUUAUGAUAGUUUCACUUAUAACCUUAGCCAGGUUUCCCAUUCUUUAUCUAUGUCAAAAGUUAGCAGAUACAAGUACAAGAAACAUGAAUUAAGGAGGGUUUUUUUUUAUUUUUUAUAUCGUAACCUGUUUAUAUGGGAACGAGUCAUAGGAUUACUCAUAAGGGUCAGUUUUUGUAUCAGAUUGAAUGUAGCUACAUGUUGUGUCCAAAAUAUCGCUUUCUUUUCC
rnacentral:lncRNA from 1 species